CUCAGGAAGAUAUGAAAGAAAAGCCGAGUGGGUUACUCGGAGACUCAUGUUUAACUGCUAAUAACGAGCCUAACCCUGACGGUCUGAUAGGGAUGACGAUUAGCAUCUAACGGAAUGUUUCCUUUUUUAUUUUCUUCUUCUUCUUCUUCUUCUUCUUUUUUGCGCUUGUUUUUAACACAAGUUGCAUCCGCUUUUUGAUUUGAUUUGACGACAUAACAUAGCUGAAGGGUACGCGACGCCAAAACCAGAAGGCAUAAUCAUUUUCAUUGAUCGUAGCGACAUUACGGCAAUCACCGGGUGCCCACAAAAACGCUGUUUAAGGCAGCUUUUAUCUGUCGGUGUCCAAAAGCAAAGAUCUUGAAGCAAGUGAACCAAAUUGUCAUUAAAAAUGAAAAAUUAAACCUUUUGCUCAAUUCUGUCUGCGAAACGCCUAGGCUUGGGAAUCAGCAGUGCAGUGCGGAUCUUGGUAAAGGACCACACCAGUUUGGCUGCCUAAAGAUUUACCCACUUUUGCUUGAUUUAUCCUACUUUGUGAGGAAGAUUCCGUCGGUGUAUAUUACCCAUGUUAGAUCCUUCACUCACCCCAUCAUUAUCCCGCCUCCGGUCUGCUCUUCGAUGAGAUGACGCUGUCCACAUCUGAAUUGUGGGACUUGCUCUGCAAUGGCGCAAUAUAGGAACAAUGGUGAAUUCUUCAUUGAUCAUGGAUCUCGGGUCUUUCGUCGAAAUAGAAGGUUUGGUCGUUUUACUAAACAGAGACUUUCAGAAUCGUCGUUACUUCUCACUGCACUACUGUCAUUAUCUUUGACAGCUUUUGGACUGAGAAUGUUUUUUCUAGCUAAAAUGGACUCCAAGCCCCCAAUUUUGGACUCAAAGUCCCAAGUUUUCCACAAACUGAAAGAAGCAAGCUUAAAAGAAGCAAUUUUGGCAUCUGAUGUCGGAAGGCCACCUAAAAGCAAGCAUCGGAAGCAACGUAAGAGUCAAUAUCUUGCA